rfam:Daphnia pulex DAPPTscaffold_151_Cont6001, whole genome shotgun sequence.
GGUCAUAUGGAUUAGAUGGAAAAGCGCCUUCCUAGUAAGCAGGAGAUCACGAGUUUGAGUCUCGUUGGGACCU